rfam:Citrus clementina cultivar Clemenules unplaced genomic scaffold scaffold_6, whole genome shotgun sequence.
ACACCCUCCACUCCAAGAGCCCAAGUAUCAUACACUCCCCCAAAAUAAAGAGCCUUGAAUACUAGAAGAAAAACACCUAUACUCAACAAAAUUAGGUGAAUACCCAAAAUUGUGGUCAUUUUAUUUCUAUCUUUCCA